rnacentral:rRNA from 1 species
UUUUAGAAAAAUAAAAAAAGUAACAAGGUUUCCGUAGGUGAACCUGCGGAAGGAUCAUUACAGUAUUCUUUUUGCCAGCGCUUAAUUGCGCGGCGAAAAAACCUUACACACAGUGUUUUUUGUUAUUACAAGAACUCUUGCUUUGGUCUGGACUAGAAAUAGUUUGGGCCAGAGGUUUACUAAACUAAACUUCAAUAUUUAUAUUGAAUUGUUAUUUAUUUUAAUUGUCAAUUUGUUGAUUAAAUUCAAAAAAUCUUCAAAACUUUCAACAACGGAUCUCUUGGUUCUCGCAUCGAUGAAGAACGCAGCGAAAUGCGAUAAGUAAUAUGAAUUGCAGAUUUUCGUGAAUCAUCGAAUCUUUGAACGCACAUUGCGCCCUUUGGUAUUCCAAAGGGCAUGCCUGUUUGAGCGUCAUUUCUCUCUCAAACCUUCGGGUUUGGUAUUGAGUGAUACUCUUAGUCGAACUAGGCGUUUGCUUGAAAUGUAUUGGCAUGAGUGGUACUGGAUAGUGCUAUAUGACUUUCAAUGUAUUAGGUUUAUCCAACUCGUUGAAUAGUUUAAUGGUAUAUUUCUCGGUAUUCUAGGCUCGGCCUUACAAUAUAACAAACAAGUUUGACCUCAAAUCAGGUAGGACUACCCGCUGAACUUAAGCAUAUCAUAAGCCGGGAGGAA